GACGAACGCUGGCGGCGUGCUUAACACAUGCAAGUCGAACGGAAAGGCCCUGCUUUUGUGGGGUGCUCGAGUGGCGAACGGGUGAGUAACACGUGAGUAACCUGCCCUUGACUUUGGGAUAACUUCAGGAAACUGGGGCUAAUACCGGAUAGGAGCUCCUGCUGCAUGGUGGGGGUUGGAAAGUUUCGGCGGUUGGGGAUGGACGCGCGGCUUAUCAGCUUGUUGGUGGGGUAGUGGCUUGCCAAGGGUUUGACGGGUAGCCGGCCUGAGAGGGUGACCGGCCACAUUGGGACUGAGAUACGGCCCAGACUCCUACGGGAGGCAGCAGUGGGGAAUAUUGCACAAUGGGCGGAAGCCUGAUGCAGCAACGCCGCGUGCGGGAUGACGGCCUUCGGGUUGUAAACCGCUUUCGCCUGUGACGAAGCGUGAGUGACGGUAAUGGGUAAAGAAGCACCGGCUAACUACGUG
rnacentral:rRNA from 1 species